rnacentral:lncRNA from 1 species
UUUCUAUUUGCGUAAUAUCUAUAUUUUAUAUUUGAAGAUAGAUGUUUAAAUCUUAAUAUACUUUUUCCAUUGUUUUUAAGUUGUGUAUUUUUUUUUCUUAUACUUUCUAUUUACUUAAUAUCUAUAUUUUACAUUUUAAGAUUGAUGUUUAAUAUUUAAUGUACUCUUUCCAUUUUUUAAAAAUUGUGCAUGUACUUAUUAUUGUAUAUAUAAUUCGUAUAUUUAUAUAUUUAUAAAAUUUACUUAUUAUUUAUUUUUCUAUAUAUUGAGUAUUUUAUUUUUCUUAUACUUUAUAUUUAGUUAAUAUCUAUAUUUUAUAUUUUAAGAUAGAUGUUUAAAUCUUAAUGUAUUUUUACAUUUUUAAUGUAAAACGGCAAUGUUUAAUAGAAGAAGUUGGACAAAUAGUCAAAUAGUUAUAUUUAUGUUUUUUUUCUUUUUUUAUAAAAUGGUAAUGUUACAUUAUGGAGAUAAGCCGCUUUUUUUUAGUGAAAAAUGAAAAUCUUACAUAUGUUUAAUGUAGUUUUUCUAUUUUUUUAUGUUGUAUGUUUACAUAUUAUUGUUAUUUUUAAAUGUAAAAUGGUAAUAUUACAUAUUUUUAAUGUAGUAUUUUCAUUUUUUUAUGUUGUAUGUUUAUAUAUUAUUUAUUCUUUUCGAAAUUAUAUAUAAUGUUUUUUUUUACAAAAUAUUAAUUUUACAUUAUGGAGAUAAACCGUCUCUUUUUAGUUAAAAAUGGUAAUCUUACAUAUGUUUAAUGUAGUUUUUCUAUUUUUUUAUGUUGUAUGCUUACAUAUUAUUAUUUUUUAAAUUAAAAAUGUAAAAUGGUAAUCUUACAUAUGUUUAAUGUAGUAUUUCCAUUUUUUAUGUUGUAUGUUUACAUAUAUUUAUUAGAGUAUUUGUACUCUCUACACAUAACUUACCCCCUAUUUGCACUCCAUACCCUAUUUCCCUUCAAUUUUUUCCCCCCAUCACUACCAUUUUCCCCCAACUCAAUGGUAUCUCACUCUUUUGAGUAUAUUGAGCUAAUUUGCUCUAUUUAUUAUUUUCAAAAUUAUAUAUAAUGUUUUUUUUUUUUUAUAAAAUGGUAAUGUUACAUUAUGGAGAUAAGCCGUCUUUUUUUCAAGUGAAAAAUGGUAAUCUUACAUAUGUUUAAUGUAGUUUUUCUAUUUUUUAUGAUGUAUGUUUACAUAUUAUUUAUAAUUUGCAAAAUUAGUAAUAUUAAAGUGUAAAACUAUAUUUUAUGCCACGUGUCAUCUUUUGAGAGAAGUUUUUUUUGCUGAUGUGGACGCUCUAUGGAGCCUCAAAAGGUUCCUUUUAUUAGUAAGGAUUUUUAUGUUGUAUGUUUACAUAUUAUUUUUUUUUAAAUUAAAAAUGUAAAAUGGUAAUCUUACAUAUGUUUAAUGUAGUAUUUCCAUUUUUUAUGUUGUAUGUUUACAUAUAUUUAUUAUUUUCGAAAUUAUAUAUAAUGUUUUUUUUUUAUAAAAUGGUAAUGUUACAUUAUCGAGAUAAGCCAUCUUUUUUCAAGUGAAAAAUGGUAAUCUUACUUAUGUUUAAUAUAGUUUUUCUAUUUUUUAUGAUGUAUGUUUACAUAUUAUUUAUAAUUUGCGAAAAUUAGUAAUAUUAAAGUGUAAAAUUAUAUUUUAUGCCACGUGUCAUCUUUUGAGAGAAGUUUUUUUUUGCUGAUGUGGACGCUCUAUGGAGCCUCAAAAGGUUCCUUUUAUUUGUAAGGAUUAUGGAGAUAAGCCGUCUUUUUUUCAAGUGAAAAAUGGUAAUCUUACAUAUGUUUAACGUAGUUUUUCUAUUUUUAUGCUGUAUGUUUACAUAUUUUUUAUAAUUUGCGAAAAUUAGUAAUAUUAAAGUAUAAAACUAUAUUUUAUGCCACAUGUCAUCUUUCGGGAGAAGUUUUUUUUGCUGAUGUGGACGCUCUAUGGAGCCUCAAAAGGUCCAUUUUAUUAGUAAGGAUUUAUUUAUUAUUUAUUUUCUAUAUAUUGAGUAUUUUCUCUUUCUUAUACUUUAUAUUUAGUUAAUAUCUAUAUUUUAUAUUUUAAGAUAGAUGUUUAAAUCUUAAUGUAUUUUUACAUUUUUAAUGUAAAACGGCAAUGUUUAAUAGAAGAACUUGGACAAAUAGUCAAAUAGUUAUAUUUAUGUUUUUUUUCUUUUUUUAUAAAAUGGUAAUGUUACAUUAUGGAGAUAACCCGCUUUUUUAGUGAAAAAUGGAAAUCUUACAUAUGUUUAAUGUAGUUUUUCCAUUUUUUUUUAUGUUGUAUGUUUACAUAUUAUUGUUAUUUUUAAAUGUAAAAUGGUAAUAUUACAUAUGUUUAAUGUAGUAGUUCCAUUUUUUUAUGUUUUAUGUUUAUAUAUUAUUUAUUAUUUUCAAAAUUAUAUAUAGUGUUUUUUUUACAAAAUAGUAAUUUUACAUUAUGGAGAUAAACCGUCUUUUUUUAGUGAAAAAUGGUAAUCUUACAUAUGUUUAAUGUAGUUUUUCUAUUUUUUAUGUUGUAUGUUUACAUAUUUUUUUUUUAAAUUAAAAAUGUAAAAUGGUAAUCUUACAUAUGUUUAAUGUAGUAUUUCCAUUUUUUAUGUUGUAUGUUUACAUAUAUUUAUUAUUUUCGAAAUUAUAUAUAAUGUUUUUUGUUUUUUUUUUUAUAAAAUGGUAAUGUUACAUUAUGGAGAUAAGCCGUCUUUUUUUCAAGUGAAAAAUGGUAAUCUUACAUAUGUUUAAUGUAGUUUUUCUAUUUUUAUGAUGUAUGUUUACAUAUUAUUUAUAAUUUACGAAAAUUAGUAAUAUUAAAGUAUAAAACUAUCUUUUAUGCUACGUGUCAUCUUUUGGGAGAAGUUUUUUUUGCUGAUGUGGACGUUCUAUGGAGCCUCAAAAGGUCUCUUUUAUUAGUAAGGAUUAUGGAGAUAAACCGUCUUUUUUUAGUGAAAAAUGGUAAUCUUACAUAUGUUUAAUGUAGUUUUUCUAUUUUUUAUGUUGUAUGUUUACAUAUUAUUUUUUUAAAAAUUAAAAAUGUAAAAUGGUAAUCUUACAUAUGUUUAAUGUAGUAUUUCCAUUUUUUAUGUUGUAUGUUUACAUAUAUUUAUUAUUUUCGAAAUUAUAUAUAAUGUUUUUUGUUUUUUUUAUAAAAUGGUAAUGUUACAUUAUGGAGAUAAGCCGUCUUUUUUCAAGUGAAAAAUGGUAAUCUUACAUAUGUUUAAUGUAGUUUUUCUAUUUUUAUGCUGUAUGUUUACAUAUUAUUUAUAAUUUACGAAAAUUAGUAAUAUUAAAGUAUAAAACUAUCUUUUAUGCUACGUGUCAUCUUUUGGGAGAAGUAUAUAAUUAACCCGGGCUACGCCCGGGAUUUUUAUUUUUUUCUAAUUUAAGUUGUUAAAUUAUUUAUAUUUAGGUUAUGAUAUAUAAUUUUUAUAAAUAUUAAGAUGCAUGUCAUAAUUAAAAUUUAUUUUAAAUUUUAACACGUUCAAUUAACAUAUUUUUACUAUUUAAAUAUUUAUUUGUAAUUUUGUUGGCUAUCUAAUUAUCAUAUUUAGCAAAAUUAUCUGUUGAGUGUUGGAAUAAAUGUUUUAGAUAUUUAAUUAAACUGCAGAGUAUUUUCGGAUCGAUCACAUGCUCAACAAUCGAUCGAUCCGUAAAAAGAUGGUCGAUCUCCUUGGCCAGGUAAGUACAAUUUUAG